ACUCAAAUGAAUAGACGGGGGCCCGCACAAGCGGUGGAGCAUGUGGCUUAAUUCGAUGCAACGCGAAGAACCUUACCUGGGCUUGACAUGUAACUGCACGACCGGUGAAAGCCGGUUUCCUUCGAGGGUGUUACACAGGUGCUGCAUGGCUGUCGUCAGCUCGUGCCGUGAGGUGUUAGGUUAAGUCCUGCAACGAGCGCAACCCCUGUGAUUAGUUGCUAGUCGCGCAAGCGAAGCACUCUAGUCAGACUGCCUGUGAUAAGCAGGAGGAAGGUGGGGAUGACGUCAAGUCAGUAUGGUCCUUAUGCCCAGGGCUGCACACGUGCUACAAUGAAGGGUACAGAGGGAUGCGAAUCCGCGAGGUGGAGCUAAUCCCAAAAAACCCUUCUCAGUUCAGAUUGGAGUCUGCAACUCGACUCCAUGAAGCUGGAAUCGCUAGUAAUGGCGCAUCAGCUACGGCGCCGUGAAUACGUUCCCGGGCCUUGUACACACCGCCCGU
rnacentral:rRNA from 1 species